rnacentral:lncRNA from 1 species
CGAUGGACAGGGCUGCGUCCGGAGCUCAGGGACAAAGCCCUCUUGGCAGGGGCUGCAGCUGGGCCUGUGAAACAGCCCUUUCAGCUCCGGCUCUGAAUGGCGGUUCUGUGGCCUCGUUGGAGGAACACAGGCGCCUUUUCUGUGUCACUUCCCCCUCACCAGCGGAGCUCCAGAAAUAUGCCACAGCUCGCAUUCCGCCAGGGGCUUGCAUGCAGACAGGGAGGAAACUCGUGAAAUGAAAAACCCCCGCAACCAGACAGAGCGGAGUUUGAGUCCCUCUUCUGUCACCUGCCAGCUGACUUCAGGUGAAUCCUUCACUUGGCUGCUGUCCUGUCCCAUGUCUGUAAAGUCGGGAUCUCAACACCAAUAUCACAGGAUGGAGGAGGAUGAGGUGUAUUGAAUGCUGCAUCCGUGUUUAUUGUUUCUCCAGCACCUUCUUGUAUCGGUCAGGACAGGAUAGGUGAGUUGCAGUAACAAACAAGCCCUCAGAUCACAAUGGCUUAACACGGGGAUUGUUUCUCUCUGGUGAUGCAGACCCGGGCUAGACAGGUGCCUCCCUGCACAGGCCCUCCCCAAGGCUGCCUGCACGCUGCUGUCCUGCCAUUUCCAAGUCCUGGGUCAGCCACACAGUCAAGAGAGAGACAGCAUGUGUCUCUCCGAACAGCCUCAGACGAGGAGCACACGGCCGACUCUGCCUAGCAGCCCAGGGGGAGGAGGUGGGUAUUCAGGAGCAGUGACACUCUCUGUCACUCUUCCCAAGAGAAAAAGAAAGCUCCCAUUGGCCCUACAUCACCUCUAGAUGAAAAGUCAAACUCAGCUGGGCAUUUCAGACUCCUCAGGCUCUUUCUCGCCACCUUCCCCAGGCCAUUGCCUGUCUCUCUGCCUCCCCCUCUACCCCCCCAUCCCUCUCUCUUCUCUGCCACAGAAUGAGUCACUCCCUCCUCAUAGCACAUUUUUCCCCUUAAUUGCAGCAGAUUCUGUUUCAGAUUUUCCUUACUGGUUUGGGUGACUCUCCCCUACGAGACCAUGAGCGCCUCCGAUGCUGCCCUUGGCGCAGGCACCUUAUCUGAGUUUGUGCUCGAUAAACAGUGACUCACCUUGUUUUAGGGGAAACAUGAAACCUUGAAUGUCAGGCUCUGCAGGAAACUCAAAGGUCAUCUAAAACAGGAAAUCCAGCGUGGCCACCCCUUGUGCUCACCUGGAGAGGGUGUUAAAAAUACAGAGGCCACCGCGUUGGAUGCGUCCUUGGGGCCAGAGGCUGCACACUGACAGUGAGGAGGGCAGCGGGGGAUCAAGCAGCAGUGAGCCCCACAGAGCCAGCCUCCGAACUGAGCCUCUGGAGAGCUGAGAAGAGCAGAUGAAGAUGUGUCAACAGUGGUCAGCUCACCCGUUUCAUCCUUCAGCUUCAAAACUCUGGAGCCACACAGACCAGGUCUGCAGAUUUUCAGGAUUCUUGCUGCUGCUGCCGCUUAGAAGCUUAGGAGAGAAAAAUAAAAUUCCGCCAAAUUGGG